rnacentral:tRNA from 1 species
AAAAUUUUAGUUUAUCUAAAACAUAAUAAUUACAAUAUUAAAAUAUAUUUUUAUAAAUUUUU